UACGGGGGGGGGCAAGCGUUGUUCGGAAUUACUGGGCGUAAAGGGCGCGUAGGCGGCCUGCUAAGUCGGACGUGAAAUCCCUCGGCUCAACCCUGGAAGUGCAUUCGAUACUGCUGAGCUUGAAUGUUGGAGAGGUCACUGGAAUUCCUGGUGUAGCGGUGAAAUGCGCAGAUAUCAGAAGGAACACCGGUGGCGAAGGCGGGUCUCUGGGCCGUAACUGACGCUGAGGAGCGAAAGCGUGGGGAGCGAACAGG
rnacentral:rRNA from 1 species